rnacentral:lncRNA from 10 species
GCCAAGUAUGCCUGUCAUGUUGGAACCCAGUCCCGGGACACGCACCAGCUUCUCUUUGUGGGUUACCUUAGUAACCAAUAGUACAUUGUGGAAAUGACUCCUAAGUGUGACUUCCAGAGGCUUCUGCCUUACUCUAUGAGAUCCCUCAGAUCAACUUCUCUUACGGGAAGCCAGCUGCGAUGUCAUGAGGACACCCAAACAGCCCCAUAGUUUCUUGGGGUAAGGAACUGAGGCCUGCUGCCAGCAACCAGCACCAGUUAGCAGUAUGUGAGUGAGCCACGUGGGAAGUGGAUUCUUCAGCCCCAAUGCAACCUUCAGUGACUGUAACCCCAGCUGACGUUUUGACUCUAACCUUUUGAGGGAGUCUGAGGCGGAACCCACCAAGCUAAGUUCCUAGCCCACAGAAAUUGUGUGAGGU